rnacentral:rRNA from 1 species
UACGGAGGAUCCGAGCGUUAUCCGGAUUUAUUGGGUUUAAAGGGUGCGUAGGUGGCCUGUUAAGUCAGGGGUGAAAGACGGUAGCUCAACUAUCGCAGUGCCCUUGAUACUGAUGGGCUUGAAUGAACUAGAGGUAGGCGGAAUGUGACAAGUAGCGGUGAAAUGCAUAGAUAUGUCACAGAACACCAAUUGCGAAGGCAGCUUACUAUGGUUUUAUUGACACUGAGGCACGAAAGCGUGGGGAUCAAACAGG